rnacentral:rRNA from 1 species
AGUGAACGCUGGCGGUAGGCCUAACACAUGCAAGUCGAACGGCAGCACAGUAAGAGCUUGCUCUUACGGGUGGCGAGUGGCGGACGGGUGAGGAAUACAUCGGAAUCUACUUUUUCGUGGGGGAUAACGUAGGGAAACUUACGCUAAUACCGCAUACGACCUACGGGUGAAAGCAGGGGAUCUUCGGACCUUUCGCGAUUGAAUGAGCCGAUGUCGGAUUAGUUAGUUGGCGGGGUAAAGGCCCACCAAGGCGACGAUCCGUAGCUGGUCUGAGAGGAUGACCAGCCACACUGGAACGGGGACACGGUCCAGACUCCUACGGGAGGAGCCAGUGGGGAAUAUUGGACAAUGGGCGCAAGCCUGAUCCAGCCAUACCGCGUGGGUGAAGAAGGCCUUCGGGUUGUAAAGCCCUUUUGUUGGGAAAGAAAAGCAGCAGGUUAAUACCCCGCUGUUCUGACGGUACCCAAAGAAUAAGCACCGGCUAACUUCGUG